GGGUGAGUAACGCGUAUCCAACCUGCCCGCCACUUGGGGAUAACCUUGCGAAAGUAAGACUAAUACCCAAUGAUAUCUCUAGAAGGCAUCUGAAAGAGAUUAAAGAUUUAUCGGUGAUGGAUGGGGAUGCGUCUGAUUAGCUUGUUGGCGGGGUAACGGCCCACCAAGGCAACGAUCAGUAGGGGUUCUGAGAGGAAGGUCCCCCACAUUGGAACUGAGACACGGUCCAAACUCCUACGGGAGGCAGCAGUGAGGAAUAUUGGUCAAUGGACGAGAGUCUGAACCAGCCAAGUAGCGUGCAGGAAGACGGCCCUAUGGGUUGUAAACUGCUUUUAUAAGGGAAUAAAGUGAGUCUCGUGAGACUUUUUGCAUGUACCUUAUGAAUAAGGACCGGCUAAUUCCGUGCCAGCAGCCGCGGUAAUACGGAAGGUCCGGGCGUUACCCGGAUUUAUUGGGUUUAAAGGGAGCGUAGGCCGGAGAUUAAGCGUGUUGUGAAAUGUAGAUGCUCAACAUCUGAACUGCAGCGCGAACUGGUUUCCUUGAGUACGCACAAAGUGGGCGGAAUUCGUGGUGUAGCGGUGAAAUGCUUAGAUAUCACGAAGAACUCCGAUUGCGAAGGCAGCUCACUGGAGCGCAACUGACGCUGAAGCUCGAAAGUGCGGGUAUCGAACAGGAUUAGAUACCCUGGUAGUCCGCACGGUAAACGAUGGAUGCCCGCUGUUGGUCUGAAUAGGUCAGCGGCCAAG
rnacentral:rRNA from 1 species